ensembl:lncRNA
GGACCUCCCCCCAGCCUGGACCCGGUGCCUCACAGGAGCCCACCGCCACCCUGCGGCAGGAACGCCCUUGGGUAAGGGUGGGGACCUGCAGGGCCUCCCCCGCCACCGGCCGCGCAGAGGCGCCUACUGUGGUCCUUGGCCGAGGGCCACAGAGAGGCCUGCUGCCUCGUUCCCGCCAGUGCUCACUUCGGAAGGACAAGAUUAAGUAUACCGUGAAGUGCCCUAACGCUGCAGCACGCCAGGAAACGGCGGUGUCCUGAAGUACACGGUGAAGAGCAAGCACACUCUCUUUAGGAAAAGUACAAGCAUUUGUUCAGCCAGGUGUACCGAUGUGUGGUUGCCCAGAGGCCUGGGCGCGGCCCUCGUG